GGUGUCGUGCGGCACGGGGCGGUCCGUGUCGUUCCAGUCGACGAGGAUGCGCUGCCGUUCUGCGGCGCUCAGCACGUCGAUGUCGCCG
rnacentral:tRNA from 1 species